rnacentral:rRNA from 1 species
UACGUAGGGUGCGAGCGUUAAUCGGAAUUACUGGGCGUAAAGCGUGCGCAGGCGGUUUUGUAAGCCAGAUGUGAAAGCCCCGGGCUUAACCUGGGAAUGGCAUUUGGGACUGCAAGGCUGGAGUGUGGCAGAGGAGACUGGAAUUCCUGGUGUAGCAGUGAAAUGCGUAGAUAUCAGGAGGAACACCGAUGGCGAAGGCAGGUCUCUGGGCCGACACUGACGCUCAUGCACGAAAGCGUGGGGAGCAAACAGG